GGGUCGUUAGCUCAGUUGGUAGAGCAGUGGACUUUUAAUCCAUUGGUCGCGUGUUCGAGCCACGCACGGCCUACCA
rnacentral:tRNA from 1 species